rnacentral:pre_miRNA from 14 species
AGAAGGUCCUCUCCUUGCUGUGUCCUCAGGGUCCAGUUUUCCCAGGAAUCCCUUGGGCACUGUGUUGGGGAUUCCUGGAAAUACUGUUCUUGGGGCCGUGGCUCAGCAGCUGGAAAAGGC